rnacentral:rRNA from 1 species
AGUGAACGCUGGCGGUAGGCCUAACGCAUGCAAGUCGAACGGCAGCACAGUAAGAGCUUGCUCUUACGGGUGGCGAGUGGCGGACGGGUGAGGAAUACAUCGGAAUCUACUUUUUCGUGGGGGAUAACGUAGGGAAACUUACGCUAAUACCGCAUACGACCUACGGGUGAAAGCAGGGGAUCUUCGGACCUUGCGCGAUUGAAUGAGCCGAUGUCGGAUUAGCUAGUUGGCGGGGUAAAGGCCCACCAAGGCGACGAUCCGUAGCUGGUCUGAGAGGAUGAUCAGCCACACUGGAACUGAGACACGGUCCAGACUCCUACGGGGGGCAGCAGUGGGGAAUAUUGGACAAUGGGCGCAAGCCUGAUCCAGCCAUACCGCGUGGGUGAAGAAGGCCUUCGGGUUGUAAAGCCCUUUUGUUGGGAAAGAAAAGCAGCAGGUUAAUACCCCGCUGUUCUGACGGUGCCCAAAGAAUAAGCACCGGCUAACUUCGUG